GAUGAAGAACGCAGUGAAAUGCGAUACGUAAUGUGAAUUGCAGAAUUCAGUGAAUCAUCGAGUCUUUGAACGCACAUUGCGCCCCCUGGUAUUCCGGGGGGCAUGCCUGUCCGAGCGUCAUUGCUGCCCUCAAGCACGGCUUGUGUGUUGGGCCUCCGUCCUCCUCCCGGGGGACGGGCCCGAAAGGCAGCGGCGGCACCGCGUCCGGUCCUCGAGCGUAUGGGGCUUCGUCACCCGCUCUUGUAGGCCCGGCCGGCGCUUGCCGACACAUCAAUCUUUUAUCCAGGUUGACCUCGGAUCAGGUAGGGAUACCCGCUGAACUUAAGCAUAUCAAUAAGCGGAGGA
rnacentral:misc_RNA from 1 species